UGCCAAAAAAAAAGCCUGCAGAGAAACCAGUUCCGAAUGCUACUUUGCAAGUAACUGGUGCUGUUGGUUGGCGGAGGGAAGGUCUUGUCUAUAAGAAGAAUGAGGUAUUUCUUGAUAUCAUCGAAAGUGUUAAUCUUCUUAUGUCUUCUAAAGGUAGUGUUCUACGUUGUGAUGUAACUGGGAAGAUUCUCAUGAAAUGCUUCCUUUCUGGAAUGCCCGACUUGAAGUUGGGCUUGAAUGAUAAAAUUGGACUGGAGAAAGAGUCGGAGAUUAAGUCUCGUCCUACUAAAAGGUAGCUUCUAAUUAAUUGUUGAAUCCACCUAUCCAGUUUACUGAACUUAUAUAAUUUUUGCUUGUGAAGGUCAAAAUUUAAUGAAAUGUCCUGUCAAUGCCAGCAUAGGAAUAUAGUAUACGUUUGUUUUCUUGAAUCAGAAGAGAAUAGUUAAUGCAGGGAAGGUCACUUUAUGUUACUCCAUCACUUGUGAUGUUCGACGAGUAUAAGCGUGGAAGUGCCGAAGUUUUUGAGAUCUAGGCCAAAAUCCUUACGUAUUUGAAGUUUGUCACUUUCUUGUUGUAUUGUACCCUAUGAUGCUCAGACUCUUUUAGUUUGGACGAUGUAUCCUUGUUGACAUGACAUGUCAUGUGUAUGGGUAUGGAUCUUAUGUUAGAUCUUUGAAUUUGAAAGUAGACACAUUAGAAACA